rnacentral:ncRNA from 1 species
UCCGGGUCUGUGGUUGAAAGUCGAUGCCAGUUGCAGGCGAAACGAUCCACGUAAGCAGUAAAAAUUACUGUGAGCACGGUGCAGCUUAGAAGUAAGUCCUGCCGUAUUGAUACGAGAGGGGCAGUAGUGGGGAGCGACAGCUUAGGAGCGAACCCUCCAGCAGGCGGGUGUGGGGGCGAAAACCAGGUCAGCCGGGG